rnacentral:lncRNA from 1 species
CAUCUUCAGCUGAUCAGUUUUCUUUCUUCAUUGAAAACAUCUCACUUAACAUUCAACAGGAAAGCAGUGGACCUGGAAUAUGUAAGUGCUUGCAUUGAAAAUGACGGUGAUGGGGACUGGAGAGAUGGCCCAGAGGUUCAGAACACUGGCUGCUCUUCCAGAGGAUCUGGGUUGAGUUCCCAUCACCUACAUAAUGGCUCGCAGCCAUCUGUAACUGCGGUUUUAGGGAAUCCGAUGCCCCUUUCUGUCUUCUGUGGGCUUCCAGGCAGGGGGUACCAGACAUACAUGCUCUCAAAGCACUCAUAAAAAUAAAA